rfam:Collinsella tanakaei YIT 12063 genomic scaffold supercont1.4, whole genome shotgun sequence.
GUUCUGGUCGGUAACCAGAACGCGAGUAAUAAGAGGAG